rnacentral:rRNA from 1 species
CAGUAGCCACGGUAAUACGGAGGGUGCAAGCGUUAUCCGGAUUUAUUGGGUUUAAAGGGUCCGUAGGCGGAUCUGUAAGUCAGUGGUGAAAUCUCACAGCUUAACUGUGAAACUGCCAUUGAUACUGCAGGUCUUGAGUAAAUUUGAAGUGGCUGGAAUAAGUAGUGUAGCGGUGAAAUGCAUAGAUAUUACUUAGAACACCAAUUGCGAAGGCAGGUCACUAAGAUUUAACUGACGCUGAUGGACGAAAGCGUGGGGAGCGAACAGGAUUAGAUACCCCCGUAGUCCCUGUCUCUUAUAA